AACCCUAAGGCGCAUGAAAGUGAAGGUCAGGCAUCGCACUGACUGAGGCAGGAUCCGUCCGGGUGAGCGAAGCUCUUCUUCCCUUCGCGGGUUCGUCCCGCGGGGGAGCUCGGCGGCGCACUGCCAGCCCAUCUCGGCCGCUUCCCGUCGGCGAGGUGGAGCCAGAGCGCACACGUUGGGACCCGAAAGAUGGUGAACUAUGCUCGGGCAGGACGAAGCCAGAGGAAACUCUGGUGGAGGUCCGUAGCGAUUCUGACGUGCAAAUCGAUCGUCGGACCCGAGUAUAGGGGCGAAAGACUAAUCGAACCGUCU
rnacentral:rRNA from 1 species